GACGAACGCCGGCGGCGUGCCUAAUACAUGCAAGUCGAGCGCAGGAAACUGACGGAACUCUUCGGAGGGAAGGCAGUGGAAUGAGCGGCGGACGGGUGAGUAACACGUAAGGGACCUGCCUCAAGGAUUGGGAUAACUCCGAGAAAUCGGAGCUAAUACCGGAUAGUUCAACGGACCGCAUGGUCUGCUGAUGAAAGGCGCUCCGGCGUCACCUUGAGAUGGCCUUGCGGUGCAUUAGCUAGUUGGUGGGGUAACGGCCCACCAAGGCGACGAUGCAUAGCCGACCUGAGAGGGUGAUCGGCCACACUGGGACUGAGACACGGCCAAGACUCGUACGGGAGGAAGCAGUAGGGAAUCUUCCAGAAUGGACGAAAGUCUGAUGGAGCAACGCCGCGUGAGUGAUGAAGGUUUUCGGAUCGUAAAACUCUGUUGUAAGGGAAGAACACGUACGAGAGGAAAUGCUCGUACCUUGACGGUACCUUACGAGAAAGCCACGGCUAACUACGUGCCAGCCGCCGCGGUAAUAC
rnacentral:rRNA from 1 species